AUUGAACGCUAGCGGGAUGCUUUACACAUGCAAGUCGAACGAGUGGCGGACGGGUGAGUAAUAUAUGGGAACGUGCCCAGUGGAGGGGGAUAACUACUGGAAAGAGUGGCUAAUACCGCAUACCAUCGGAGCAGCCCAUAUCGGAUUAGCUAGUUGGUGGGGUAAAGGCUCACCAAGGCAACGAUCCGUAGCUGGUCUGAGAGGACGACCAGCCACACUGGGACUGAGAAACGGCCCAGACUCCUACGGGAGGCAGCAGUGGGGAAUUUUCGACAAUGGGGGAAACCCUGAUCCAGCCAUCCCGCGUGUAUGAGAAGGCCUUCGGGUUGUAAAGUACUUUUGGCAGAGAAGCGGUACCUGCAGAAUAAGCACCGGCUAACUACGUGCCAGCAGCCGCGGUAAUUC
rnacentral:rRNA from 1 species